CCGUUAACGAACGAGACCUCGACCUGCUAAAUAGUCGAACGAACUCUUCGGAGUUCGGAGCGACUUCUUAGAGGGACUUUUGGUGAGUAGCCAAAGGAAGUUCGAGGCAAUAACAGGUCUGUGAUGCCCUUAGAUGUUCUGGGCCGCACGCGCGCUACACUGAUCGGUUCAUCGAGUUUACAACCUUGACUGAUAGGUCUGGGUAAUCUUUUGAAAGCCGGUCGUGCUGGGGAUAGAUCAUUGCAAUUAUUGAUCUUCAACGAGGAAUUCCUAGUAAACGCGAGUCAUCAACUCGCAUUGAUUACGUCCCUGCCCUUUGUACACACCGCCCGUCGCUAAUACCGAUUGAAUGGAUU
rnacentral:rRNA from 1 species